GACGAACGCUGGCGGCGUGCUUAACACAUGCAAGUCGAACGGCAAGGCCCUGCUUUUGUGGGGUGCUCGAGUGGCGAACGGGUGAGUAACACGUGAGUAACCUGCCCUUGACUUUGGGAUAACUUCAGGAAACUGGGGCUACUACCGGAUCGGAGCUCCUGCUGCAUGGUGGGGGUUGGAAAGUUUCGGCGGUUGGGGAUGGACUCGCGGCUUAUCAGCUUGCUGGUGGGGUAGUGGCUUACCAAGGCUUUGACGGGUAGCCGGCCUGAGAGGGUGACCGGCCACAUUGGGACUGAGAUACGGCCCAGACUCCUACGGGAGGCAGCAGUGGGGAAUAUGGCACAAUGGGCGGAAGCCUGAUGCAGCAACGCCGCGUGCGGGAUGACGGCCUUCGGGUUGUAAACCGCUGUCGCCUGUGACGAAGCGUGAGUGACGGUAAUGGGUAAAGAAGCGCCGGCUAACUACGUG
rnacentral:rRNA from 1 species